GGAAGAUGCCGGGGAUCGAACCGGGCCUUCACAUGCAAAGCGAACGCGCUACCACUGCGCUACAUCCCC
rnacentral:tRNA from 1 species